CGGCGGACGGGUGAGUAACGCGUGAGCAACCUGCCUUUCACAGGGGGAUAACGCACCGAAAGGUGCACUAAUACCGCAUGAGACCACAGUGCUGACAUGGUACAGGGGUCAAAGGAGCAAUCCGGUGAAAGAUGGGCUCGCGUCUGAUUAGCUUGUUGGCGGGGUAACGGCCCACCAAGGCGACGAUCAGUAGCCGACCUGAGAGGGUGAUCGGCCACAUUGGAACUGAGACACGGUCCAAACUCCUACGGGAGGCAGCAGUGAGGAAUAUUGGUCAAUGGACGAGAGUCUGAACCAGCCAAGUAGCGUGCAGGAAGACGGCCCUAUGGGUUGUAAACUGCUUUUAUAGGGGGAUAAAGUGUGCCACGUGUGGCAUAUUGCAGGUACCCUAUGAAUAAGGACCGGCUAAUUCCGUGCCAGCAGCCGCGGUUAUACGGAAGGUCCGGGCGUUAUCCGGAUUUAUUUGGGUUUAAAGGGAGCGUAGGCCGUCUUAUAAGCGUGUUGUGAAAUGUCGGGGGCUCAAUCUGUGCAUUGCAGCGCGAACUGUGAGACUUGAGUGCGCAGGAAGUAGGGCGGAAUUCGUCGUGUAGCGGUGAAAUGCUUAGAUAUGACGAAGAACUCCGAUUGCGAAGGCAGCCUGCUGUAGCGCAACUGACGCUGAAGCUCGAAAGCGUGGGGUAUCGAACAGGAUUAGAUACCCUGGUAGUCCACGCGGUAAACGAUGGAUGCUCGCUGUUUGCGUCUGACGUAAGCGGCCAAGCGAAAGCGUUAAGCAUCCCACCUGGGGAGUACGCCGGCAACGGUGAAACUCAAAGGAAUUGACGGGGGCCCGCACAAGCGGAGGAACAUGUGGUUUAAUUCGAUGAUACGCGAGGAACCUUACCCGGGCUUGAACUGCAGCGGACGGAUACAGAGAUGUUGACUCCCUUCGGGGCCGCUGUGGAGGUGCUGCAUGGUUGUCGUCAGCUCGUGCCGUGAGGUGUCGGCUUAAGUGCCAUAACGAGCGCAACCCUUGUUCGUAGUUGCCAUCGGGUGAAGCCGGGCACUCUGCGAAGACUGCCUCCGUAAGGAGUGAGGAAGGUGGGGAUGACGUCAAAUCAGCACGGCCCUUACGUCCGGGGCUACACACGUGUUACAAUGGCAUGUAUAGAAAGCAGGGUGUAUGCAAAUACGCUCGAAUCCCUAAAACAUGUCUCAGUUCGGACUGGGGUCUGCAACCCGACCCCACGAAGCUGGAUUCGCUAGUAAUCGCGCAUCAGCCAUGGCGCGGUGAAUACGUUCCCGGGCCUUGCACACACCGCCCGUCAAG
rnacentral:rRNA from 1 species